rnacentral:rRNA from 1 species
AAAAGGGAAGAGCCCAGCGCCGAAUCCCCGACUYYYGGUCGCGGGAAAUGUGGCGUUUGGGAGUGAGCGUGCCGAGAUCGRARYGGGGGGYAAGUCCCYYUGACCGGGGCCUGUCCGUAGMGGGUGCGAGGCCCAUAGCCCCCCGUUCCGUCUCGGAUGCGAUCUCCUUGGAGUCGGGUUGCUUGGGAGUGCAGCCCUAAUCGCGUGGUAAACUCCACGUAAGGCUAAAUACCGCCGUGAGACCGAUAGCAAACAAGUACCGUGAGGGAAAGUUGCAAAGAACUUUGAAGAGAGAGUUCAAGAGURCGUGAAACUGCUCAGAGGUAAACGGGUGGGCCCUCGAAAUCCUGUGGCGAGAGGAUUCAGUCUGGUGCUGGGAACGCGGAGCCGGAAGUCAAGGUAGGGCUUCCCGGGACAGGGGCCGUCCGGUUCWGCGUCUUUUCCGGUGCCAGACGCAUUUGUCUCUCGUCCGAAGGACGCCGCAGCCGGUUGGGCAGUGCAAGCGCGUCGGCCUGAAGGCGGGGAGCCGGCASGUGGCCGGUGGGGAGCCUCGUGUUCCUCGCCGGUUGUUAGCCAUCCCYGUAGUGGCUCGACGCCCGACCGUGGUGUCGCGAGGCCCCUAUAGGGGCCUCCAYGUCUCCUCCCUGCGUCGCGGGACAGAUGGCCGCAGGCGAACUCCGCWGUUGCGUCGCACUUCCCCGGAGUGGGCGUGCGAACGGAGGUUGCUGUUGGUGGCCGCGGACCUGCGGGGGACUGGAGGCUUGCGGCGAGUAGGUCGGUCACCCACCCGACCCGUCUUGAAACACGGACCAAGGAGUCUAACAUGUGCGCGAGUCAGUGGGUCUUGAACAGGCCCACGGGCGCAAUGAAARYSAAAGUCGUCCUCCGCGACGACSRAKUCGGRAUCCCUUCCCUUCGGGGUGGGGCGCACCGACGACCCGUCCUAUUCGGCUCGCCGUUUGGGCGGAGUCUGAGCGUACACGUUGGGACCCGAAAGAUGGUGAACUAUGCCCGGACAGGACGAGGCCAGAGGAAACUCUGGUGGAGGUCCGCAGCGGUUCUGACG